UAAUAUUUUCCAUGUUUUCUACAGUGUAUU
rnacentral:piRNA from 1 species